AGGGUUUGAUCAUGGCUCAGAACGAACGCUGGCGGCGUGGAUAAGGCAUGCAAGUCGAACGCCAAAGUUCCCCUUCGGGGGAAUGAGUAGCGUGGCGAACGGGUGAGUAACACGUGAGCAAUCUGCCCUCGAGUGGGGAAUAAGGCCCGAAAAGCCGGUAAUACCGCAUAAUGUCGCGAGAUCGCCUGGUUUUGCGACCAAAGGUGGGGAUCCGAAAGGACCUGCCGCUUGAGGAUGGGCUCGCGGCCCAUUAGGUAGUUGGUGAGGUAACGGCUCACCAAGCCCGCGAUGGGUAGCUGGUCUGAGAGGAUGACCAGCCACACUGGGAUUGAGAUACGGCCCAGACUCCUACGGGAGGCAGCAGUCUAGAAGCUUCGGCAAUGGGCGAAAGCCUGACCGAGCGACGCCGCGUGCAGGAUGAAGGCCUUCGGGUUGUAAACUGCUUUCGCUAGGGAUGAAACGUAUGGGGGUUAAUACCCCCCAUGCCUGACAGUACCUGGAUAAGAAGCCCUGGCUAACUCCGUGCCAGCAGCCGCGGUAAUACGGAGAGGGCAAGCGUUGUUCGGAUUUAUUGGGCGUAAAGCGCGUGUAGGCGGUCUUGUAAGUCGGUCGUGAAAGACCCACGGCUCAACCGGGGAACUGCGUCCGAUACUGCAAGGCUUGAGUGCGGGAGAGGAGAGUGGAAUUCCAGGUGUAGCGGUGAAAUGCGUAGAUGUCUGGAGGAACACCCGUGGCGAANGCGGCUCUCUGGCCCGCAACUGACGNUGAGACGCGAAAGCGUGGGAGCGAACGGGAUUAGAUACCCCGGUAGUCCACGCCGUAAACGUUGGACACUAGGUGUGGGAGGUUUUCUACCCCUUCCGUGCCGCAGCUAACGCAUUAAGUGUCCCGCCUGGGGAGUACGACCGCAAGGUUGAAACUCAAAGGAAUUGACGGGGGCCCGCACAAGCGGUGGAGCAUGUGGUUUAAUUCGACGCAACGCGAAGAACCUUACCAGGGCUUGACAUCACCGCAAGGGACCUGGUCGUCUGGGAAACCAGGCGGCUAUAGGUAGACAGGUGUUGCAUGGCUGUCGUCAGCUCGUGUCGUGAGAUGUUGGGUUAAGUCCCGCAACGAGCGCAACCCCUACUCCUAGUUGCCAGCGGGUAAUGCCGGGGACUCUAGGAGGACUGCCGGUUUCAAGCUGGAGGAAGGUGGGGACGACGUCAAGUCAUCAUGGCCCUUAUGUCCUGGGCUACACACGUGCUACAAUGGCCGGUACAGAGGGUAGCAAGGUCGAAAGGCGGAGCCAAUCCCUUAAAGCCGGUCCCAGUUCGGAUUGGGGGCUGCAACCCGCCCCCAUGAAGCUGGAAUCGCUAGUAAUCGCGCAUCAGCCAUGGCGCGGUGAAUACGUUCCCGGGCCUUGUACACACCGCCCGUCACAUGACCCGAGUUGGCUGCUCCCGAAGUCGCUGAUCCAACCCGUAAGGGAGGAAGGUGCCGAAGGAGUGGCUGGUAAGGGGGAUGAAGUCGUAACAAGGUAACC
rnacentral:rRNA from 1 species